AAAACUACCAACUACUUUGCUCAGAUUCGUGAAUUUUGAAAUUCCGCCGAAGAGAAGAAACGAAUUUUCAGUGAAAGCAUCCACAAUGGUGCCUAGCGCACCGCCUAGCCGAGCACCGGCGCUAGGCGAACCAUUGCAUGAGCCGAAAACGGGCGAGCGGUUUUUCGGAAAUGAAUUUCGCCUAGCGCUAGCCACAAAUAGUAAAUCGAGUAAUUUGGCGAAACUGAAGCCCGGUGUUGGAGAUGGGCCUUCUUCUUCCAAACCCAGAAUUGAUUCCUCUGCAUCCAAGAAGAAAAUUAUUGGGGGAUCAAUCAGGAAUUCAGCUCCAGAUUCCAAAUCUAAAUCCAUUUUCAGCUCUAGCUCCAAAAUGGACUUAAAUUUGAUGGUGAAUCUGUUGCAAUUCUGAAAUCCGUUGGAAUUUGCAUUCGAAUUGUCUGUGGUGAUUUAGAUUUACCUCUAAUUGAAUUCUGAUAUAUAUUGAUCAAGCGAAGAUGAAGAAAACGUCUGCUCAAACGAAAGAUGAUAAGAAAACUGUGACGAGAACCAGAGAGAAGAAAGUGUAUUCUUUGGCUGGCCAGAAAUUUGAUGUUCCUGAAGAGCUUCUGCCUUUGUUUGUAUUGUUAGUUACGUUCUCUUCUGGACGAGUUUUUCGCUGACUGAGUCUUGUUUCUUGUCUGGUCUACAGCGGGAGCCAUUGAGAAUAUUUUAGGAAUCAUUAUCCAAGCAGAUUCCUUCAAGCGAAAUGGCAGAGUUUUGGUGAUUUUUUUCUUUGCUAUAUCGUGGGAACGGGUGGAGUUGAUAUACCUUGCUUGAUGCAGACGAAGAUAUUUGGCUAAUAUAUGUUGAGGCCAUUUUGUGUUGUUACAAAACAAUGUUACUGUUCUUGCUGUUGUUAGUCGAUUCAAUGUGAAUAACAUAUUGUGAUGCUAAUUCUACACUUCGAUUACUUCACCAACAUCUCAUUUAAUACCGGAUAUUUGCAUUAACUUAGCGCUUCGUUAUGAGCUGCAAACGGUCAUUUCUUACUAGCUAUGUUGGAAUGUAGAGGCAAAAGAUCCAAAACCUGCAUAAGAUCAAUAGAUUCUCGAUAUCUACUCUCUUCGUGUUCUGCCAAUUCUAUUAUCCAAUCUUUUCCACAUAGUUGGUGUUCUCUGUUUUUCUAUGCCUUUUUAUUGUUUUAGAUUGUGUUUCGUGUUUACUCUCCUUCUUGUAUGAACUUUAUAGGGAGCUUUCGUUAAUUGAUGAUAGUCUUGAAUUUUUUGUGGCGCUCCGCGCUUCUGGCCAUUUUCCUAACUAGAUGCAUAAUGAGUAUUCGAGUAAAAAUUAAUCUUGGUGUUUGUUAAGGAAAAUCGGGAGAUAUCAUGAAUAUACCACCGAUUUUGUGAUGAAGGUAUAUAUUUUGUUACCAAUCGCUCACUAUAGUUACUAUAUCUGAAGUCGAAACUCCAGAUUUAUGUGGAAUGUUUUCAUGGUCGAGAAAGAACUCGUGGUUUCUUUAAUUAAUAAGCUCAUGGUUCUGCGUUGAUCUUGUUAUAUCCUUACAUUGUAUCAUAAGGCUUAGAUGAAUGAUCAAUCUCAUAUUUUUGCAGGUUGAUGGAACACGGCAUGCUGUCACCCGAGAGGUCGAGAAAAGCGUACGAGAAGAAACAGAGGAAGCAAAAACAGCUCCGUUCGGGCACUCCCAUAAAGUCUCCGCCACCGUCCACAUCUAGUAGACCCGAGAGCUCCAAAAGGCCACAGCCAGUUCCCAAGAAUGGCGAAGUAAAAUCUAAGAAGCGGUUAAAGGAAGACAGCGAUGAUGAGGAUGACUUCGUUCUAAGCCACAAGAGGAGAAGAGGUUAAACAAACCAUGCUCAGAAAAAAAAAGUUUGUACAACAAUCACCGCUCGAGAUUCUUGAUUUUACAGACAUAUUGAAUGCUAAAUCUUGAUGGUCAGAGUUGUCUCAAUCGAUCCUUAAAUGCUCGUUGCCAAGGCCGAGGAUAGCCUCUGCCACCAGGACGUGCAACGUGACUAUGUCAUGGAACAUCUGCAGAGAAGAAAAAUAUAAGAAAAUGCCCCAAAGGAAGCAUGAUCCAGGUCAGAAAACCAGAUGUUAAUGUUGUAUAGUUGAAUUUAGCAUUCAUAAAUACACACAUGGCUCUACAUGUGACACAAUACAGGAUAUAAAUAUCUGCAUUGCACAAUAAAUACACACACACACACACACACACUCAUUGGGCUUAUAAAAAAAUUUGAUCUUGAAUGAUGAAAACAUGGUCCUACCAUGAAUCUAUCUCUCCAAAGUUUUUAUGGAUUUGAACAACUGGUCCAGUUGUAUUGGAUGUGAUUGAUAGAACUUUUUGUUGCCUAAAUUGGAGAGUGGAGUUUGGAGCUCAUUGAUUAGAAAGAGAGAGAGAGAGAGAGAGAGGAGAGGGCAUCCACUAAUAUGCCCUUUAAAUUGUCAUUCCCAUGUAUAUUUGGUAGGUCUAAUAGUUACUUCUCCAACAUCCACAAGUCUUUAGACUAUUCUUAGCUCUUUUUUAUGUAUCUA